UGCUCAUUAAUAUAUUUGUAUUAUCACACGAGUUGGUGUAAUAUUAUAUACAAAAAUACGCACAUCACUCUUUCCAACAAUUUUAUUGUUAUAUCACACGCCUUGACGCUAUAUUAUUAUCUCUGCACGAUAUUACACUUUUACCAAGACUUUUACACAAUGAUGAUGGUCUUCGGUUUUGCGUGUCUCUGUCGCUGUUCUUUAUUGCGAUAUUUCACCAUGUUGUCAUAUUUAUUUUCGCAAGAGGUCAGCUCAGAUUUCUUGUCCGUCUUUUACUACAAUUUCGCGAAAAUGUUUACAUAAAAUUUGCUAAUUUCUCAGCUAAUAAAUAUUUUACUUAAUAGUGUGUGAGUUACAGUACUGAAGUAUAAUCGGACAUAAACAGUAGCACAAAGUAUUCUCCAUCAGUAAGCAGACCUAGUUUUCAAGCAAGUUUCAAUUUUUGUCAACUGAUCCCAGAUACUGAUCCAAUCGUCAGGAAUAAAUUUUCCACUAUUCGUCCCCCCACUAUGAAGCAGGUAUUUAUGGCCCCGUGUACGCUAUUCGCUAACAAAAUGCACAUGCAAUCAAUAUCGAUACCUGGUUCGUAUCGGAUGCCUUGUUGAUCAACCCCCGGUCGUACUAUCUGGAUAUCUUUAACUGGAAAAUACUCCGGAUAUCUUUGGCACAGACACCGAUGGUGCCGUGGUUUAGAAAGUAUAAUAAAAUCGAUGUGCAGGAUGCAAAACAUGAAAAAGCAUGCGAAGCAACUGAUCCGCAAUACUCUGAUUCUUGCUUCGUAUCUUAGUGAGUUGAAGUCUAAAGGGAGCAUCAACAAUGUGGACGAUAUUCAGUUCCUGUACACUAUGUACUAUGUAGUUGACGUUGUGAAUGAACGGAGAAAACUUGCUGGCCGUAUAGCAGUUUGACCGGACAUCUGCACGAUGGUUGAUCUGUCGCCGAAUAUUGAACUAAGUACAUUCAGUCAUUCGAAGGGUGAGCAGUUUACAGUUAGAUUGCUUACAAGCGAGUAUUAGUUUAUUGAUUUACCUCAAUCAGAGCGUUCUGCUUUAAGCGAAUAGCCUUAACAGUAUUGUGAGGAACCUCUCCCAACAUAAGCAUUGAUUUCAGCACCACAAAUACGCUUUUCAUGGCCAACGAUUCAUCAGGGGUACGUGAAGAUGAAAAUGGUGGUGAUUAGGUAUUCUCCAGCUGGCCGUAAAUGUGCGCCUACUCUCUGCGAAAAUUAUUUCUAGCCAUACACGUGCAUGCUGGAGAAUUUCUGUACAGGGGGUCCUUUUUUGAGCAUGGACCAAUUGUAGUGCCAUCUCGUUAUUCAGAUCUGUUUUUCAAUAGAAUCUUCUAUUGCACUAAUUCUUUCUUGAAUGUAUUUUUUUAUUAUUAGUUUUUUAAUUAAUCGACCAUUAAUUAUUUUCUAAAAUGUAUUCCUAGUUACCAGAUUUUAUGAAUAAUCUCUUAGGCCGAUUUCAACAGCUUCAACAGGGUGUUGCACUAGUGGCAGAUCACUUGUGAUGCAUUUUUAAAAAUCAGCUAAAUUAAGGUUCAAGUAACCUUUUUGAGCAUGUGUUAGAUUUGAACGCUGGGUAGUAUGGGUAGGAAAAAAUGUGUUCAGCUUUGCCACCGGAUUAUCCGUUUAAACCUUUUCAAAACUCUAAACUCUAAAAGAAGAAUAUCAGCUGAUUUAUUAGGUCACAACGAUUCAAAUCAUACAAAAUAGCUGCUGGAAAAACUAUCGGUUACGCUAAAUGGUGCUUUUGAAAAAGUGGCUGUGAUUUUUUGUCGCUACCACUCCUGAACAUGCCCUAAAGUAAUUGCCAAAGGGGCCGUUCAUAAAUUAUGUCGCGUAUUUACAGUUAAGGAAGAGCGUGACGUAACAUGAAUUAUCGAGAUAUAAAAUAAAAAUUUUGACGGACAUGUGAUUGGGGUUCGGAAGUCGAAUGUCGGAGUUCACUUGGGGGGUGUUCUGGAGAAGCCUUUGUUAUCCAGGCAUGGUUCUGUGGUUAUUCCGUGUAGUGCGUAAGUUUUGCUGAAUUGACAGUGGACCACAUAAUUGAUGUCCAAGUGCCCGACCUGAUUAUAUUGGGAUAUGCUAGUAUGGCCGUAGUGCCCUAGCGGAUAUAUGCUCAAAUGACUACAUACAAAUAUUUUAAACUUAUUUGUUCGAAGGAUGUCUGUUCUCUGUGACUUAGCUAUAUUUUAAAAUUUUAAUAUCGAACAAAAUGAUCAUUAAUACAUACUAGAAUAGGAUAAUUAGUAGAAAAGUUGCGGGGAAAUUAAUAUUCGUGGAUAUUAUGGUUAACAGCACUCUUUUAUUUACUUAAUAGUCGAUUGAUCCGUUUCAGACCUAGGGGACCCACUUAAGAGGAGAUCAGGAAGAAUACAAGAACGGAAUUAAUACGAAGUUUUAAUUGCAUCACUGACGACUUAGCACGCGUUGUUAGAAGCAGGAUACAUUGGACUAGACAAAAUAGAGGACUUGAAGAUACCCACUUCGCGACAAACAGGCGCAAAAUGUAGUCCUCCUCCCGAGGACCGGUGUUUCCUUGGCAGACAGUUGCUAAUUCGUCCGAUUUUGCAAAUUUUGUCUCGCGGGACGGACCGAGAUCCGCUAAGCUAUGAGCUACAGUCCUAUCAGCCCGCUAACAAAAAGUAGUGUCUCAGGACAAUUUAGUCAGGAAAUCAAGAGUUGUCCAAUUAGAUCGAUUAGCUUGGGAUACUUUCACUAUGCGGCACAAGCCCAGCCGGAAAUGAUCCAGAAAGCUGGCUGGAUCUAGUUAGUAAACCGGCUCCAGUGACACAACCGACUCUAGCUAGAAUUGGUUGUGUCACUGGAGCCGGAAUGCGAACUGCAACCAGUCAGUAUUCUGGCUCAUUUUCUGGCUGAAUUUAACUGGGAACUUUCAAAGAACUUGAGGAUGUAAAGUACUACACGCUGAUGAAAGGUCUAUUUAGGAUUUACUUGCUAGGCGGCGCUAGUGAGUAUACAAUUUUUCAGCAAAAAGUGAUGAUUUUUGCAGUUCUUCUAGUGUGAAAAAUCUCAGGAAUCAAACGAAUUUAUUGCGAUCUUAUUUAGAAUAAGUUAAGGUUCUAUAGCAUUUUGUCAUUCAUAUAAAAUUUGAUGAUUUUGCCAUGCAUAUAUUUUUCAAUCAUUUUUUAUAAAAUGUACCUUAUUGAACGUGGAACAUC